GAAAGAAAAAAAGGGAAAGCAACGCAGUAACAAAGACCUACAAGUACAGAAUCCUAGCUUAUCCACAAUAAAGAACAAUACCUGUGAACAGAGAACAAAGGUCCAGCCAAUUAAAGCAGGAAUUCAGAUACUAAAAUCAAACAAUUAUCAACCCACUAACUAAAACCAACUCAGAAAUAAGUUCAAACGACCAAAAGAAAAAAGACACUGUACAAUAAUAUAAACCCUAGAAUAACAAUGCAAAUGCAGAUAUCAUAAAACAAAUUGGAAGAAAAAAGAAAUUGACUCCAAAAACUAACAGAAGAUGCAAAAUAAGAAAA
rnacentral:misc_RNA from 1 species